rnacentral:rRNA from 1 species
GACAGAGGGUGCAAACGUUGUUCGGAAUUACUGGGCGUAAAGCGCGUGUAGGCGGCUUGGCAAGUCGGGUGUGAAAGCCCUGGGCUCAACCUAGGAAGUGCACUCGAAACUGCCGAGCUGGAGUUCUGGAGAGGAAGGCGGAAUUCUCGGUGUAGAGGUGAAAUUCGUAGAUAUCGAGAGGAACACCGGUGGCGAAGGCGGCUUGCUGGGCUUGGUCUGACGCUGAGGCGCGAAAGCGUGGGGAGCGAACAGG